rnacentral:rRNA from 1 species
UACGGAGGGUGCGAGCGUUGUCCGGAAUCAUUGGGCGUAAAGGGCGCGCAGGCGGCUUCGCGCGUGCCUGGUGAAAGCUCCCGGCUCAACUGGAGAGGUCCAGGCAUACGGCGGAGCUGGAGCUCGGUAGGGGGUCGUGGAAUUCCCGGUGUAGUGGUGGAAUGCGUAGAUAUCGGGAGGAACACCAGUGGCGAAGGCGGCGACCUGGACCGAAGCUGACGCUGAGGCGCGAAAGCGUGGGGAGCGAUCCGG